rnacentral:rRNA from 1 species
AAAUUUAUAAUCUGGCACCUUCGGUGUCCGAGUUGUAAUCUCUAGAAGUGUUUUCCGCGUUGGACCGCACACAAGUCUGUUGGAAUACAGCGGCAUAGUGGUGAAACCCCCGUAUAUGGUGCGGACGCCCAGCGCUUUGUGAUACACUUUCAAUGAGUCGAGUUGUUUGGGAAUGCAGCUCAAAUUGGGUGGUAAAUUCCAUCUAAAGCUAAAUAUUGGCGAGAGACCGAUAGCGAACAAGUACCGUGAGGGAAAGAUGAAAAGCACUUUGGAAAGAGAGUUAACAGUACGUGAAAUUGUUGGAAGGGAAACGCUUGAAGUCAGACUUGCUUGCCGGAGCUUGCUUCGGUUUGCAGGCCAGCAUCAGUUUUCCGGGGUGGAUAAUGACGGUUUGAAGGUAGCAGUCUCGGCUGUGUUAUAGCUUUCCGUUGGAUACGCCCUGGGGGACUGAGGAACGCAGCGUGCUUUUUGCGAAAGACUCGUCUUUUUCACGCUUAGGAUGCUGGUGGAAUGGCUUUAAACGACCCGUCUUGA